rnacentral:rRNA from 1 species
AUACGUAGGGGGCGAGCGUUGUCCGGAUUUAUUGGGCGUAAAGGGUUCGCAGGCGGCCUUUUAAGUCAGAUGUGAAAGAUCACGGCUCAACCGUGGUAAGCAUUUGAAACUGGAAGGCUUGAGUUAAGGAGAGGAAAGUGGAAUUCCUAGUGUAGCGGUGAAAUGCGUAGAUAUUAGGAGGAAUACCAGUGGCGAAGGCGACUUUCUGGACUUAUACUGACGCUGAGGAACGAAAGCGUGGGGAGC